GAAUCUUAAAUAAUUAAGCCGCUAACUUAAUUCAUAGUGUUAAUACAUUAAAGUUUCU
rnacentral:tRNA from 1 species